rnacentral:snRNA from 1 species
GGAUGUGAGGGUGAUCUGGCUGAGACGUCUGUCACCCCACUGAUCUCCAGGGUUGAUUCGGCUGAUCUGGCUGGUUAGGCAGGUGUCCCUUUUCCUCUCUCAAUGCUUCAUGUGCGUCCCUCCUGAAGCUGCGUGCUUGGUCAUAGAGGACGACCUUUCCUGAUAGAGGAGGACCGUUCUUUUCUGUCAGGGUAUAGGAGUAGCUGUGCUCCUCUGCUAGAACCUCCAAACAAGCUCUCAAGUUCCAUUAUAGACACCUAUUAACUUAUUUACUCAAUUCUAACAUGCGUGUACGGUGGUU